rnacentral:rRNA from 1 species
AGUGAACGCUGGCGGCAGGCCUAACACAUGCAAGUCGAACGGCAGCACGGCAGUAGCAAUACUGUGGGUGGCGAGUGGCGGACGGGUGAGGAAUACAUCGGGAUCUACCCUGUUGUGGGGGAUAACGUAGGGAAACUUACGCUAAUACCGCAUAAGAACUGAGGUUGAAAGCGGCGGACCGCAAGGCGUCGCGCGAUUGGAUGAACCGAUGUCCGAUUAGCUAGUUGGCGGGGUAAAGGCCCACCAAGGCGACGAUCGGUAGCUGGUCUGAGAGGACGACCAGCCACACUGGAACUGAGACACGGUCCAGACUCCUACGGGAGGCAGCAGUGGGGAAUAUUGGACAAUGGGCGCAAGCCUGAUCCAGCCAUGCCGCGUGGGUGAAGAAGGCCUUCGGGUUGUAAAGCCCUUUUGUCCGGAAAGAAAAGCAUUCGGUUAAUACCCGGGUGUUCUGACGGUACCGGAAGAAUAAGCACCGGCUAACUUCGUG